GACGAACGCUGGCGGCGUGCUUAAUACGUGCAAGUCGAACGGUAAGGCCCUUCGGGGUACACGAGUGGCGAACGGGUGAGUAACACGUGGGUGUUCUGCCCUGCAUUUCGGGAUAAGCCGGGGAAACUGGGUCUAAUAACGGUUAGGCCCACUGCCUGCUAGGGUGGUGGUGGCAAGCUUUUGCGGUGUGGGGUGGGCCCGCGGCCUAUCAGCUUGUUGGUGGGGUGAUGGUCGACGAAGGCGACGACGGGUAGCCGGCCUGAGAGGGUGAACGGCCACACUGGGACGGAGAUACGGCCCAGACGCCUACGGGAGGCAGCAGUGGGGAAUAUUGCACAAUGGGCGCAAGCCUGAUGCAGCGACGCCGCGUGAGGGAUGACGGCCUUCGGGUUGUAAACCUCUUUCAGCACCGACGAAGCGCAAGUGACGGUAGGUGCAGAAGAAGGACCGGCCGACUACGUGCCAGCAGCCGCCGUAA
rnacentral:rRNA from 1 species